AGUUUUUAGGUGAGAUGAUAUAUCACAGUGUGCUUUAAACUGUCAGGAGCCUUUUGGUUCCUGCACAGCUGUGACACUGUUAAAUGUCUGCGAAUGUCUUCAAGUGGAGAAAACAUUUCAUUGCAAUCUUUUCCCCUGACUAGGAAUUCCUAAGAUUUUUGAGAAUAUUAGUUUUGGAAGAUCAUAGCCCACUAUAUUUUUAUAACAAGCAAGACAGCAUUGGCUUAUCCUUGCUUGACCAGGUAUUUAAAAUGGCACAAAAAGAAAAAAAAAAAAAGUAAAUGACACAUUAAAGUUACAUUGGUAAUUGCGGGAAAGCUCAUCUGUAUUUAUAAAAUAAAACUGAUUAGUAUCUCUCAGAAGUUGUGUGUCUUCUGUUAAUGGUUCCAUCUGUGUUGCUUUGCUUACAAGCCUGAUUUGGACUGCAAUGUYCUCCCCAAGCCCCCGAACUCUGUGGCUUAAAACUCAUCAAGCCCGAAGUGAUCCAAAUGUGGUGAAUAUUCUGACAAGCGGGUUUACUUGAAGACCACCUUCGUGGCUCCAAUUCCUGUGUCAUGCAAGAUGGCACUGCAGUUGCUUUUCGUUCCCCUUCCAAAAAGAUGGUACACAGCUGGAAAAACAGGUCUGGUGGUGUUGUGUGGCUGGAAGGCAGCUGCAUUCGCAAAACUUCAUGGAUAGUGGGAAUGCCAUAUCCCCUCGUCAGGGAGGCACUGCUACUCAUCCAGCACCUUAUGUGAUCCGAGCUAAUAAGCAACAUAUGCCUAAAAACCUUAUGUCUGCCUAAAAACCUUAUGUUUCUGUUGAAAAGGAGACUGCUGCUCAAGGCUUAGGAGGAGACCGUGCAAUGCAGGCAGUUGCUGGUGGGAAGCAGUAUAACAUGAAGAGCCAAAGGGCCUCUCCGGGCUUCAUCAGUGAAACAGUAGCACUCCAGCUUUCCGUCAUGUGUCCACCUGCCAGCAGCAGUACGCGUGCUGCCCGUGGAUGCCAAAGGAAUCGUGUGACWGCGGUGACCAGCCACCAGCUCCUGCAAGGUACCUGUCACACGGGGUCUAUGCUGUUAACCAG
rnacentral:lncRNA from 1 species